GGGGGCGACUGGUUUCGACAUGGUAAGUCGGAUUCGAGGAGCAGGUCGUGGUCUCCUCGCCACGUUAAACAGGGGUAAAGUCAAGUUAAUUGGCAAAACUAAUACUCAGAGCGCUCCUGCGCUCGCCAUGGCUGCUUAAUUAAUGCCUGGCUGUCGACCUGGUGAAUUUCCCCGCCACUGGGAAGGCAUUAUCUUAGGGGAACGCUCUUUGGCACGUAGUUGGUAUGGCCAAAGCUAAGACUGAACCAGCUAGGAUGGUUUGUGGCCUGUCGGUGGGCUUAAAUCAUUCGAAAUCAAAACAUCGACUAAGCUUGUAGUGCCUUGCUGAUGAUUUAGUAUGGACCGGAGUUCGAUUCUCCGCGCCUCCACCA
rfam:Eggerthella sp. CAG:1427 genomic scaffold, scf47